GGGGCGGUGGCUCAGCCGGUCAGAGCGGGGAACUCACCAUCCCCGGGGCGCGGGUGCGAGCCCCGCCCGGCCUG
rnacentral:tRNA from 1 species